rnacentral:lncRNA from 1 species
CUAGACUAUUUAAUUUUCAUCAGAAAAUUCCUGUUUUUGAAUGUGAAGAUUGUCAUUUUUAUUACUGUAACAUAUAUAAAAUAUAAUCCACUUAAUGCACACACUCUUAACAUAUUUAUGCUUUAACAUACAAUAACAUUCCUGUUCUCAUAUCAUAAUAGAUGACACUGUACUGUAUUGUACAUCUCUGCAAGUUGGGCAUCUGUGUAAGUUGGGGAGAGAGUGUGUACAAUACAGUACAGUCACUUUCCCAGAUUUCUGAAAAACAUAACUCUUAUUUCAAUCAGAAAAAUAAUUUGACAAAAAUUCUGGAUAAAAAAUUUCCAGGGCUAUGUCACUACAAUAAGUGCACCUAUACAAUGUUAUGGUGGUGUUCUUGAUUGAAAUGGAAGCAAGCUAUAAGGAACCAUAUUGAAUCAGUAACAUGCUACUUAGGAUCAACAAACCAUAUACAAAAUUAAGUAAUAUAAUAUUUCAAUAAUGUAAAAAUAACAUGUUUGAACUUAUAAUACACAAAUAUAGCAGAUGCUUAUGAUUUAUAUCUGAAAAAAUAAAGUUAU